rnacentral:rRNA from 1 species
GACGAACGCUGGCGGCGUGCUUAACACAUGCAAGUCGAACGGAAAGGCCCUGCUUUUGUGGGGUGCUCGAGUGGCGAACGGGUGAGUAACACGUGAGUAACCUGCCCUUGACUUUGGGAUAACUUCAGGAAACUGGGGCUAAUACCGGAUAGGAGUUCCUGCUGCAUGGUGGGGGUUGGAAAGUUUCGGCGGUUGGGGAUGGACUCGCGGCUUAUCAGCUUGUUGGUGGGGUAGUGGCUUACCAAGGCUUUGACGGGUAGCCGGCCUGAGAGGGUGACCGGCCACAUUGGGACUGAGAUACGGCCCAGACUCCUACGGGAGGCAGCGGUGGGGAAUAUUGCACAAUGGGCGGAAGCCUGAUGCAGCAACGCCGCGUGCGGGAUGACGGCCUUCGGGUUGUAAACCGCUUUCGCCUGUGACGAAGCGUGAGUGACGGUAAUGGGUAAAGAAGCACCGGCUAACUACGUG